rnacentral:rRNA from 1 species
UGGCGGCAGGCCUAACACAUGCAAGUCGAACGGAUCCUUCGGGAUUAGUGGCGGACGGGUGAGUAACGCGUGGGAACAUACCCAAAGGUACGGAAUAGCCUCGGGAAACUGAGAGUAAUACCGUAUGUGCCCUUCGGGGGAAAGAUUUAUCGCCUUUGGAUUGGCCCGCGUUGGAUUAGGUAGUUGGUGGGGUAAUGGCCUACCAAGCCGACGAUCCAUAGCUGGUUUGAGAGGAUGAUCAGCCACACUGGGACUGAGACACGGCCCAGACUCCUACGGGAGGCAGCAGUGGGGAAUCUUAGACAAU